rnacentral:rRNA from 1 species
UGUGAACUCUUGGUUGACCUCGGAUCAGGUAGGCAUACCCGCUGAACUUAAGCAUAUCAAUAAGCGGAGGAAAAGAAACCAACAGGGAUUGCCCC